rnacentral:rRNA from 1 species
CAGCCGCCACGGUAAUACGUAGGUGGCAAGCGUUGUCCGGAAUUAUUGGGCGUAAAGGGCUCGCAGGCGGUUUCUUAAGUCUGAUGUGAAAGCCCCCGGCUCAACCGGGGAGGGUCAUUGGAAACUGGGAAACUUGAGUGCAGAAGAGGAGAGUGGAAUUCCACGUGUAGCGGUGAAAUGCGUAGUGAUGUGGAGGAACACCAGUGGCGAAGGCGACUCUCUGGUCUGUAACUGACGCUGAGGAGCGAAAGCGUGGGGAGCGAACAGGAUUAGAUACCCCCGUAGUCCCUGUCUCUUAUAC